GCCCAAUUAGCACAAUCGGCUAGUGCGUCAGACUUUUAAAUAAUUACAAAGAUUAUCUGAAGGCUGUGAGUUCGAGUCUCACAUUGGGCG